GCCGCCGCCGUGCCAAGGUGUGGCGGAGAGAACUGCGCUCCGCAUGCGCGUUGGCCGUCUCUGUUGCCGGGCUGCGUGGCGGGCCGUGGUGCUCCUCCGGAGGGAGGAGCGUUGCUGCCGGGAUGUGGUUGUCGCCGCUGUAGACGGCCGUGCCGAUGGAGGCUGCGGGUGCGGCCUCAACCAUCGCAUCCAGGGGGAAAAGGGAGGAGGAGAGUGGACGAGCGGCCGCCGCUUAGACCUUCCUCCGUCCGGAAUCGAGUCCGCUGAUCCGCGGCCGAUCUCAUUUAAGAGAGUGUGUUCGAGGCUUCCAAUUCUUGAAUCGAUGGAGGCUGGCGCUGCGUUCUUCCAUCGGUUCUUCUUUCUUUGUAGUUCACGAUUGAUCAAUUCUUCGUGAGAUUCGUGUGAGCGCAUAUACAUACAGGAGAAAAACAAUUCAUUGUUAGAUUAUUAAUUGAUGAUUGCAAGAAGACAAGAUCAAUCAAUCAAUCUCCCUGAUUAGUUUCUUUCCUUUUUGUACGAGGAACAUCUCGUCUUCGCCGUGAAUCGCGUGGUGGCCGAAACUCUAGUAGCCAACUUCUCCAGACUUCUCCAGUCAUCGUCUGCGGCAAUUGCAGAUCGCCGGAGUGGCCUCCUCUGGCCAUAGAGAGGCCUUGCCGUUUGCCGCCGCUGUCGUUGGCAGUCAUGUGGCGGAUUGAAGCGCCGGAGGGCGCCGCUUCGACGCGCCUACAGAGGAGGGCGUCGUCAACCAUGGGGUGCCUCAGCCGCCUGCAUCGCGCGCUGGUGCUGCGCCGCUGGAGCGCUGUCGAGGCCGAGGGUCCUCGUGUCCUUGGGGCCGGAGGGAGGGUCAGGGACGGUGGAGCCGUCGAGUUCUUGGCCUAAUUGCUCUCUGGAAGAGGCGUGCGUGAUAACGUGUUGGAGAGAAUCGAGAGAGAGAGGAGCGAAUGGAAAACAGAUAUAUGAAUGAACAGUUAUUCUAUUGAUUGAA